GUGAGAAUCUGCCUAGAGGAUGGGGACAACCACGGGAAACUGUGGCUAAUACCCAAUGAGCGGAGACGUUAAAGAUUUAUCGCCUCUAGAGGAGCUCGCGUCUGAUUAGCUAGUUGGUGGGGUAAAAGCCUACCAAGGCGACGAUCAGUAGCUGGUCUGAGAGGACAACCAGCCACACUGGGACUGAGACACGGCCCAGACUCCUACGGGAGGCAGCAGUGGGGAAUUUUCCGCAAUGGGCGAAAGCCUGACGGAGCAAUACCGCGUGAGGGAGGAAGGCUCUUGGGUCGUAAACCUCUUUUCUCAGGGAAGAAGAAAGUGACGGUACCUGAGGAAUCAGCCUCGGCUAACUCCGUGCCAGCAGCCGCGGUAAUACGGAGGAGGCAAGCGUUAUCCGGAAUUAUUGGGCGUAAAGCGUCCGUAGGUGGCUCUUCAAGUCUGCUGUCAAAGAGUGGGGCUUAACUCCAGAAAGGCAGUGGAAACUGAAAGGCUAGAGAGCCGUAGGGGUAGAGGGAAUUCCCGGUGUAGCGGUGAAAUGCGUAGAGAUCGGGAAGAACAUCGGUGGCGAAAGCGCUCUACUGGACGGUAUCUGACACUGAGGGACGAAAGCUAGGGGAGCGAAUGGGAUUAGAUACCCCAGUAGUCCUAGCCGUA
rnacentral:rRNA from 1 species